AACCCAUGGUGAGGGCACUCUCUUCGGUACUCCUUGUACCUCUCCCAAGCUUCGCAGAAAGCUUCACCAGGUUUCUGUUUAAACGACGAGAUCUUGUUCUUCAGAGC
rnacentral:snoRNA from 1 species